CGGCGCGCAACGCGGGAAGCCACUGGGACGAGAGAAGACGCCCCUUCCUAACGGCCUUGCUUGCUUGCUUGCACUCUUGAGUUAAUCGCACGGUACAGUUGGCGCCGGUCCGGAGGGCUCCUAAGAAACGCGUCAGGGGUGAAGUCUCCCCAGCCAUGACCUCCACCGGCCAGGAUUCCACCACAACCAGACAGCGAAGGAGUAGACACAAUCCCCAUUCCCCCCCCCACGACUCCAGCGUCACCUCGGUGAGGCCCCAGACCUCGAAGCGAGGUGUUAAAAAGGGUGCCGUACUCCGCUCCAGCCCCAAUCUAGCGGAGGUAAAGAAGAAAGGCAGAAUGAAGAAGCUUAGUCAAGCAGCCGAGCAAGACCUAGUCGUGGGGCUGCAAGGGCUGGAUCUGAACCGGGAGGCCAGGACACCGUCUGGCACUGGCUUGGUGUUCGAUGAGCAGCUAAAUGAAUUCCACUGCCUCUGGGAUGACAGCUUCCCUGAAGGCCCUGAGCGGCUCCAUGCCAUCAAGGAGCAGCUGAUCCAGGAGGGCCUCCUGGAUCGCUGUGUGUCCUUUCAGGCCCGAUUCGCCGAAAAGGAGGAGCUGAUGUUGGUUCACAGUCUAGAAUACAUUGAUCUGAUGGAGACGACCCAGUACAUGAAUGAGGGGGAACUCCGUGUCCUAGCAGAUACCUAUGACUCAGUUUAUCUGCAUCCGAACUCAUACACCUGUGCCUGCCUGGCCUCAGGCUCCGUCCUCAGGCUGGUGGAUGCAGUCCUGGGGGCUGAGAUCCGGAAUGGUAUGGCGAUAAUCAGGCCUCCUGGACACCACGCCCAGCACAGUCUUAUGGACGGGUAUUGCAUGUUCAACCACGUGGCUGUGGCUGCCCGCUAUGCUCAACAGAAGCAUGACAUUCAGAGGGUCCUUAUCGUGGAUUGGGAUGUGCACCAUGGUCAAGGAACACAGUUCACCUUUGACCAAGACCCCAGCGUCCUCUAUUUCUCCAUCCACCGCUACGAGCAGGGUCGGUUCUGGCCCCACCUUACAGCCUCCAACUGGUCCACCACAGGUUUUGGCCAAGGCCAGGGAUACACCAUCAAUGUGCCUUGGAACCAGGUGGGGAUGCGAGAUGCCGACUACAUCGCCGCUUUCCUGCACGUCCUGCUGCCAGUUUCCCUUGAGUUCCAGCCCCAGCUGGUCCUGGUAGCUGCUGGAUUUGAUGCCCUCCAAGGGGACCCCAAGGGCGAGAUGGCCGCCACUCCGGCAGGGUUCGCCCAGCUAACCCACCUGCUCAUGGGUCUGGCAGGAGGCAAGCUGAUCCUCUCACUGGAGGGUGGCUACAACCUCCGCUCCCUGGCUGAGGGCGUCAGCGCCUCUCUCCACACCCUUCUGGGAGACCCUUGCCCCAUGCUGGAGUUCCCUGGCACCCCUUGCCCGAGUGCCCAGGUGUCAAUCUCCUGUGUUCUAGAAGCCCUUGAGCCCUUCUGGAAGGUCUUUGUGAGAUCAGCUGAGACCCUGGAGGAGGAGGACACUGUGGAGGGGGACAAUGUGGAGGAGAAGGAGGAGGAGGGACCGUGGCAGCCUCCUGAGCUCCCAAUCCUGACGUGGCCGGUGCUGCAGGCUCGCACAGGGCUGGUCUAUGACCAACAGAUGAUGGAUCACUACAACUUGUGGGACAACCACCACCCCGAGACGCCUCAGCGCAUCCAGCGUAUCAUGCACCGCCUAGAGGAGCUGGGGCUUGCCGGGCGCUGUCUCGCCCUGCCCGCACGGCCAGCCACGGACGCUGAGCUGCUCGCCUGCCACAGUGCUGAGCACGUGGAUCGUCUGCGGGCCACGGAGAAGAUGAAAAUCCGGGAGCUGCACCGCGAGGGCGCCAACUAUGACUCCAUCUACAUCUGCCCCAGCACCUUCACCUGUGCACUGCUGGCUGCUGGCGCCGCCUGCCGCCUGGUGGAGGCUGUGCUGGCGGGAGAGGUUUUGAAUGGCAUUGCUGUGGUGCGUCCCCCUGGCCACCAUGCAGAGCGGGAUGCCGCUUGCGGUUUCUGCUUUUUCAACUCUGUGGCUGUGGCUGCUCGCCAUGCCCAGGCCAUCAGUGGGCGUGCGCUGCGGAUCCUGAUCGUGGACUGGGACGUCCAUCAUGGUAAUGGAACUCAGCACAUAUUUGAGGAGGACCCCAGCGUGCUGUACAUUUCUCUGCACCGCUAUGAUCAUGGCACCUUCUUUCCUAUGGGGGACGAGGGUGCCAGCAGCCAGAUAGGUCAGGCUGCAGGCACGGGCUUCACCGUCAAUGUGGCCUGGAAUGGGCCCCGCUUGGGUGACGCCGACUACCUGGUUGCCUGGCAUCGUCUGGUGCUUCCCAUUGCCUAUGAGUUUAACCCGGAACUGGUGCUGGUCUCAGCUGGCUUCGAUGCUGCCCGGGGGGACCCACUGGGCAGCUGCCAGGUGUCGCCUGAGGGCUAUGCCCACCUCACCCACCUGCUGAUGGGCCUGGCCAAUGGCCGCAUUAUCCUUAUCCUAGAGGGUGGUUAUAACCUGACAUCCAUCUCGGAGUCCAUGGCCGCCUGCACCCACUCCCUCCUUGGGGACCCGCCACCCCUGCUGACCCUGCUGCGGCCCCCACUGUCAGGGGCCCUGGCCUCAAUCACCGAGACCAUCCAAGUCCAUCGCAGAUACUGGUGCAGCUUGCGGGUCAGAAAGGUCAAAGAUAAAGAGGGACCCUCCAGUUCUAAGUUGAUCACCAAGAAGGCACCCCAGCCAGCCAAUCCUGGGUCAACCAAGGGGAUGACCAUGCCAGAAGGGAACAUUCUGGAGGCAGGCACGGGGAAGGCCACCUCAGCAACAUCUGUGAAAGAGUCCACUCCAUGCCAGACUACGUCAGAGACAGCUGUGAUGGAGCUCACUCAGGACCAGUCAUCAGAGACAGCCGUGGGAGGAACUGCUGGGCUGAACCAGGCCACCUCAGAGGCAGCCACAGGGGAUGCCACGCUGGACCAGACCACCUCGGAGGAGGCUGUGGGGGGAGCUGAGCUGAUCCAAAGCCCUCCAGCCUCAUGCGCUGACAGUCAGACUCCUCCAGCGUCACCCAUGCAAGGAGCCACAACCCAGAUAUCCCCCAGUAAGCUGACUGGAAAUCUCAGGACCUUGGAACUAGACAAGGCACAGGAACCCCCAGAAGAGGAGGAGCUACUAGGAGAGGCAGCUGGAGGUCAGGACAUGAAUGAGUCAGUACUGAUGCAGGUCACUGGAGACCAUGCUGACACUGAACAAGCCAUGUUUUAUGCUGUAACACCACUGCCCUGGUGUCCCCAUUUGGUGGCAGUAUGCCCCGUACCUGAAGCAGGCCUGGAUGUGACCCAACCUUGUCAGGACUGUGGAGCACUCCAGGAGAACUGGGUGUGUCUGUCUUGCUACCAGGUCUACUGCAGUCGUUACAUCAACGCCCAUAUGCUCCAACACCAUGAAGGCUUGGGACACCCGCUGGUACUCAGCUACGCCGACCUGUCUACCUGGUGUUACCACUGUCAAGCCUACGUUCACCACGAGGCUCUCCUAGCUGUGAAGAACAUCGCCCACCAGAACAAGUUUGGGGAGAACAUGCCCCACUCACACUAAAUCCCAGAGUGUGCUCCUCUUCUUCACCUUCUGAGACCCAAGAUAGACCAACCUUAGUUCAUUCCAAGCUAUACCUUUGAUGAGGGGUAGCCUCACUCCAUCCCAUCCUGAAGACCCUUUACAACUCGCCCAGGGUGCUGAUUUAAGUGUAUAUAUUUGUAAGAGGACUGUGAUGAUCAAUUAUAGAUCUCCCACUGCCUGCUCAAGGGACUCCAUCUACUCUGCCCCAGAAGGCAAGGGGAGCAGCUCAGUGACCCCAAGAGGGGGCUGAUAUAAAGAUGAUACUUUGGAGGGAAGGGGGAUCAACUGGCAGGACCGGAUGCAACUCUCUCCCAUGCUACCAAAAAGCCCACUUGAGGCAGCACAAGCUCCAGGGCCUCAGGCCCUCACAAAACAUUUGGCAAAGUCUGGACAUUCAGGUCAAAAAUCUGACACACCCCCCCCGCAGUAA